rnacentral:misc_RNA from 1 species
ACAAAACAAAAAACCCAGCCCUACAUCUAAGCAGUGAGUUCUAGGCUUUUUCAUUCUCCUAUACUCUGUACGCAUUCUCUCCGCCGCCGUGUCUAUUUCUCUCUGAUCCAAGGUGCAUGCUACUCUACUCAUCCUUCUUUGUCAGGUAUUCGAUUUGAAGUUUUUCUCAAAUUAAUCUGAUGGUAUUAGUGAUUUCUCGCUGAUUACACACCCGUUGAAAGUGUAUUGAUCCGAUUUGUCAUUUCCACCAGUGGUAUUGUAUAUGGAUGCUAAAACAAGUGACUGAAUUGAUUUCUGCUGCUCUCUUCCACUCUUUUUCUUUUGAAUAUUGUUGGGUUUUGAGUCAUCAUUGUUGUCUAUGCUGCUAGAUGAUGAUGUUGAUAUUGCGCAAGGGCUUUGAGUUCCAUUUAAUGGAAAAUAUGAAAUAAUUCCUAUUAUCAAUCCGUUCUGAUGGCAGCAUUUGAUUGGAAUUGUUUGAUUUAUUCAAUCCUUUCAACAGAUUGACCUAUUUUUCUGAAUUUAGUGA